UACAGAGGGUGCGAGCGUUGUCCGGAAUUACUGGGCGUAAAGGGCGCGUAGGCGGCUUGGUAAGUCGGGGGUGAAAGUCAGCGGCUCAACCGCUGGACUGCCUUCGAGACUGCCUGGCUUGAGCAUGGUAGAGGCUGGCGGAAUUCCCGGUGUAGCGGUGGAAUGCGUAGAGAUCGGGAAGAACAUCGGUGGCGAAGGCGGCCAGCUGGGCCAUUGCUGACGCUGAGGCGCGACAGCGUGGGGAGCAAACAGG
rnacentral:rRNA from 1 species